GACGAACGCUGGCGGCGUGCCUAAUACAUGCAAGUAGAACGCACAGUUUAUACCGUAGCUUGCUACACCAUAGACUGUGAGUUGCGAACGGGUGAGUAACGCGUAGGUAACCUGCCUGGUAGCGGGGGAUAACUAUUGGAAACGAUAGCUAAUACCGCAUAAUAUUAAUUAUUGCAUGAUAAUUAAUUGAAAGGUGCAAUUGCACCACUACCAGAUGGACCUGCGUUGUAUUAGCUAGUAGGUGAGGUAACGGCCCACCUAGGGGAAGAUACAUAGCCGACCUGGGAGGGUGGUCGGCCACACUGGGACUGGGACACGGCCCAGACUCCUACGGGAGGCAGCAGUAGGGAAACUUCGGCAAUGGACGAAAGUCUGACCGAGCAACGCCGCGUGAGUGAAGAAGGUUUUCGGAUCGUAAAGCUCUGUUGUAAGAGAAGAACGGGUGUGAGAGUGGAAAGUUCACACUGUGACGGUAUCUUACCAGAAAGGGACGGCUAACUACGUG
rnacentral:rRNA from 1 species